AUCUUUUGUUAUACAGAGUGACAUAGAUCUUUGGUUUUGCCUUUGCUGAGUGAACAGAUCUUUGGUUUUGCCUUUUCUGACUGCUGAUCUGAACUUCUCAAAUCUGGUAAGUAAAAGU